CAGGGCCACUUUUCUUUCGGCACAGAUACGAUGAAAAGUGAACUGUUCCACGCUCCGCUACGCUGAAAAGAACACCACGGUGUGUACAAUGCCAGCUGGUAAGCACGAAAAAUUUUCACUCAAUAGUGAGAAACUUGGUGCCGCGAAAGGAUAAGCUUUGUCUCUAGAAAUAAUAACGCCCCGGCCGUUUGAUACACCAGAUUAAUUAAUAGGGAAACGCGCCGGUUAUCGUUUUCAUCGUCGUGCCUUUGUUCCACGUACGUGUUCCAUAUAUGUUUAAUACAUUGAAGAUCGUGAAGUUGUGUUAACACAAUAUGUAUGUCAUUUGCAACUACUUUUCCAUCAAUUUACGAUAUCGAUCUUUAGCUUUUUAAUAUUCUAGCCGUGAAACGGAGCACCAAGGAUUUGCUUAAACUGUUAGUUUGGAACAAUGUUCAGCUGCUAUAACAUUUGCAAUUUUUCUCCUCCGUAUCUUUCCUGGAAUUUCCGACUGCGUUACUCGGGAUCAACAUUAAAUGUAAUCUAAUUACAAUUUUAAUUAAAUGAAAACGCUAAAUAAUAAUUAAACGCCGUCCUUCUGUAGAAACAGGUUUAAUAUCUCUGCAUAUUCAAUUACGUUAUUUUUCAAUUUUCAUUUAUAUAUUCUUCUCAAAGAGUAUUUUAUAUUUGCUAUUAUCAAUAUAUUACAGCGAUAUCAUUCGUGUCAGCCUUCUAAGGUUCACAGUGACACCCGGUAACGAUACUUGGGGAUUAAUAUCAGCCCCUAAGACACACAAAGCAACCAAACCAAGCCACACAAGAUUCCUGUCAACAUAAUCUAUCUCCUGUAACCUAAUCAGCUAAUUCGCAAACGUUUCCUCCCGACGCCAACCAAGUAUCUAUAACCUGGAUUCGAGCAUCCGAAAUAUCUCCGACCUUCCACCUUAUCCACAAAUAUCAGCCUUCCACCUUCCCUUCGCAAGUUUCUAUUUCUUCAUUUCUUCCGCAAGAAACUACGAGCACACGUGGAGCCGCUAUCUGUCCCGAUAUCAACAUCGAUAAAUCGAAAUGGGAACGAAGGUCCAGGAUUUUCUAUUAAGCCGACUGUUCGCUAGCUGCCAGACGUCAAGAGGCAGAGUUACAAUUAUCGAGGCCAUUCGUUCGUUACGAGACGCUGGAUUCUCGGUAACGACGAGAGGAUACCUUCGUUUUUUCCAAUUCUUUCGCCUUCUCCGAUGCCUUUACUGACUGAACUGACCAGAGCUACUCUCCGCGUGGACUUUAAGUGGGGUUACCGGAUGGGGGUCAGCUGUUAUUGGCGUGUACCGUUCGCCACGUAAGUGCUAAGUGCGAGAGCUGCGAGGUUACCGACGAGAUUACCCCUGCAACACCAAUAAUCGAGUAAUAACGAAGUCGACCGGCUCGCUUCCUCCUGUACCCACCUAUCUCGGAAGCGACGCAGAUUCCACGGCAGAUCGGUAUCAGAGGCCGCCAUGGUUCGGACCACACCGCCGGCUAUAAUCUGGCAUAUAUGUGCUUCGAAAUUACUCGUUACAUAUAUAUAAUACUUUGAAGGGAUACGCGAUGAAUGGGCUUUGUGGAAUUGUUUAAACGUUCCUGGGGAUGGUUUUAAAGAGACUGAAUACCUGGUUCUGAUAGAGAAUUUCAACAAUAUAUAGAACUUCGAACUAACUGCUAUAGUGAUACGAGUUUCUCAGAAAUAAAACUGAUCAAGUCACUUUCCAUGAGUUUCACAAUUUUAUCUUCAUAUGUGAUUAUAUAUCGAGCUUCUCAGGAACGAGUUAUCCACUUGCACGAGUUCAUGUGUUUCAAGAAAAUGCGUCAGGAGCUCGCUGUCGCGUUUCGCCGCCUCGCAGAGGCCAACCAACGGGAAAAUGGCGUCGCUGCCCGUGAAGAUAAAGUUGGACGCGAUUCGGACACGCUGAUAAGGGGUGAAACGAGCGUGGCUGUGGAAAUGACGGCUCAGACGGCGAUUAGCCUUCUCGAGUAGGUCGAGGGAAAGAAAUUGCACAAUGGGGCAGAAACGACGUAGAAACGACACGAAAAACCACUAUUCUUGAUAACAAACAAUGGCCUUUGUUUUACUUUCUACGAUGCGAUUACGUUAACUGAUAUUUUGAUGUUGUCACUGUUUGCCGGUAUUAGAGGCAAGUAUUUUUUUACAGAUCGAAACGAUAUUGUAUAAUAAAGGCAAUCUAUAUUGGUAUUAAAGGACAUUUUAUCACGCGAGAUGGAUAGCUGAUUUUUUAUGUAAGUUAAAUUAUAGGAUCGUAAUGUAAUGUAAAACCAUGGGAACAAUGAAAUGUAUUGAAUUGGAAAACUAUAUUGUGAAAAUGAAUUGUAUUGAAGGUUUGACGCAACAAGCCGAGGAAGGUGAUUAUUUAGGGAAUAAAAUUAUAAUACUAUGCGUAGAAGCAGAUUUGGGGAUAGAAUAUUUUUAUGUUUCCGAACAAAAGGAUUUAUAUCCACCAAUAAUACCGAACUGUAUGUAGAUACAGAUCUAGUAAAAAUAUUCGAACAAUAAGAUUUAAGAAAUUAUCCAAGAAUGCGAAAGCAAUAAUACUCAUCGUUCGGAACUAGUCAUUUCUCGAGACACUUUCUAAAAUCCCAAUCGUUCAAAUAAAUCCUAUAUAGCGCCACGUACUACGUGCUAAACGACGAAAUGAAAAUCACGCGAACAACUAUCCAUAUAUUCAAGGAUAAAAAUAAAAAUUUCUUUAAAGAAUAACACAAUCCCAUAAGAACUUUCUUCCAUUCGAACAACAUUCCAUUCGAACAAUCAAUUUAAGCGUCUCUUCUAUACAUAUAUAUCCUAUCCGAGUCUCAUUCCAAAGUCCUGUUAAAUCCAAGCUAAGCUGAAUAGCCAUUACGCGAAUGCUUCCGUGUUUCGUGUUCAAACAGAAUGAUUCCAGAAGUGCGUACGAUAAAGUUAUCCGGUGCUUUGUUGCUUGGCGAAAU